rnacentral:rRNA from 1 species
UACGGGGGGGGCAAGCGUUGUUCGGAAUUACUGGGCGUAAAGGGCGCGUAGGCGGCCUGCUAAGUCGGAUGUGAAAUCCCUCGGCUCAACCGAGGAACUGCAUCCGAUACUGGCGGGCUUGAAUCCGGGAGAGGGAUGUGGAAUUCCAGGUGUAGCGGUGAAAUGCGUAGAUAUCUGGAGGAACACCGGUGGCGAAGGCGGCAUCCUGGACCGGUAUUGACGCUGAGGCGCGCAAGCUAGGGGAGCAAACGGG